ACAGGUAUAAAAUGCGAAUAAGAAAGAAAUGAGUCAAAUCAAUAAGGUCAAAUAACACCCAGCUAAAAAACCACAGGAUGGGACUGAGAGCAGCCAAUUGCAUACAUUCAAGGACCCUGUCAUGUGGGUGUUUUCUCGUCCUUUUCUUUUCUUCCUUCUCCUCUUUCUUUCUUACUUGCUAAUUU
rnacentral:ribozyme from 18 species